rnacentral:rRNA from 1 species
UUUAACUGAAGAGUUUGAUCAUGGCUCAGAUUGAACGCUGGCGGCAGGCUUAACACAUGCAAGUCGAGCGGAGAGAGGUAGCUUGCUACUGAUCUUAGCGGCGGACGGGUGAGUAAUGCUUAGGAAUCUGCCUAUUAGUGGGGGACAACAUUUCGAAAGGAAUGCUAAUACCGCAUACGUCCUACGGGAGAAAGCAGGGGAUCUUCGGACCUUGCGCUAAUAGAUGAGCCUAAGUCGGAUUAGCUAGUUGGUGGGGUAAAGGCCUACCAAGGCGACGAUCUGUAGCGGGUCUGAGAGGAUGAUCCGCCACACUGGGAC